AUGGUACGGAUCAGCUGGAUGCUAGGCAGCGACCUGCUGGUGCGGCUGUGGGCGCUGGGGGGACUCGCAGCCCGCGCAUCCGUCUCAGGAGAUGCCCGCGGCGCCGGGCUGCUCGGUGCCACCUGGCCCGCAGGCCUCGCGCCGGCACCAGGCCGACGCGACCCGACGCCGGGAUACAGGAAGCCCCAGCUUCCUCAGCCCGAGAGGAGGAGAGGCCGGCACGGCUCCCGCCCACGGGCGGCGCCUCCUCCCCCAGCGCUCCCUCCCGUGGGCCUCGUCGGCCGCCGUCCUCCCGCACCAGGUGAACGCGUAUCCCUCCGCGGCGGCCGCCCCCAGCGCCGGGCUCGCAGCUCCGCAGUCCCCGGAUGGAAACUGUUAUGGCCGCCAACGGCGACCCGCCGGGCCAUGGAGACGGGCGAGGUAACUCCGCGGGGGGCGCGGGACGGAGGAGGGCCGGCCAAAAGGCGGAGAGGAGCGGGCGACGGGAGCUCUCGUAGAGCAGGAAGCCGCGCUGGGUUGACUUGUUAAAUAGUCCCGCGCCCCCGCUGCCGUGGAAAGUCGGUGGUGCAGCGCUCUGGCCGGCGGCGGGGCUGCGUGUAGCUCACGCACCGGAAUAACGCAUGGCAGCGCCGGCGCCGUGUCCCUCGGCCGAGCGGUGGCGCCGCGCCCCCGGGGUCGUGUGCGCGCCCCGCGGCGGGCGGGGGCGGGGCUGCCCCGGGGUUGCCCGGUGCUCCCCGUGAGGGAGCGCGGUCGGGUGGAGCCGGCGGCGGCCGCAGGUGGGUGCGCGGUGCUGGCGCUUUGGGAGCGGCUCGGGGGCGUCGGGGCAGAGCCGUAGCGGGCGGUGUCCGGGUGUCCGGGUGCGGUCCCGCACCCCGCAGGUGGAUGCGCGGCGGGCACGGGUGGGACCGGGCGGGCGUGAGGAGCGGUGUCUGCGCUCAGCGCUGGGCAGGGUUGUGCCUCGCCGUGACACUGCGCGCCUACGGAGCUCCGAGCAGUGCUGGCUGCAGGGAGCUGUGUUUGGAACUUCUGGGGUUUUAUUUCCAGGUAGUAAAACUAGAUGUAAAAAAUCCCCAACUUGGGCGAGCCCUCACUCUCAUUUCUUGCUAGGUUGAAGUGUACAGCUAAAGCCUUGCCUCCUUAUCCUUUUAGAACAGACUAAUGAAAUACUGAUGUAUUGGGGCAGUUUUGGGGGAAGAAAUUUGAGGCUCGGGUCUCACGUGGUUACUUGAGCUCCUGCCUAGUGGUUUCUUUCCAUAUCAGUUACUUUUGGUUAAUGCUUAUAUACGAAUUUAUUAUAUAUACUUUAU
rnacentral:lncRNA from 1 species